GACGUAGGGCGCGAGCGUUGUCCGGAUUUAUUGGGCGUAAAGAGCUCGUAGGCGGCUUGUCGCGUCGGCCGUGAAAACCCGCGGCUCAACUGUGGGCGGGCAGCUGAUACGGGCAGGCUGGAGUUCGGUAGGGGAGACUGGAAUUCCUGGUGUAGCGGUGAAAUGCGCAGAUAUCAGGAGGAACACCGGUGGCGAAGGCGGUUCUCUGGGCCUUACCUGACGCUGAGGAGCGAAAGCAUGGGGAGCAAACAGG
rnacentral:rRNA from 1 species